rnacentral:misc_RNA from 1 species
GGCUCAGCUUAAAAGUAUUAGCUGGAUCUGUCUUUGAGACUUGGUUUGACUUGGCGUAAUAAGUUAUUUCGCUGAGGACAAUCUUCGGAUUGGCCGAGUUUCUGGGACGUUUGUCCGCUUUCUAAUACAAGUUCUAGCUUGCUAGACAUGACUUUUUAUUAUCUGGCCUCAAAUCAGGUAGGACUACCCGCUGAACUUAA